GAUAACAUCAUGUACGCUGAGGUGUACGUGAUCAAAGGUAGCCUCUACAAGUAAGCGACUGUUUGGAGAUGAGCCUGCGUACCAUUAGUUAGUUGGCGGGGUAACAGCCCACCAAGGCGACGAUGGUUAGCUGGUCUGAGAGGAUGAUCAGCCACACUGGAACUGACACACGGUCCAGACUCCUACGGGAGGCAGCAGUGAGGAAUUUUGCGCAAUGGGCGGAAGCCUGACGCAGCAACGCCGCGUGAGUGAAGAAGGCCUUCGGGUCGUAAAGCUCUGUCAAAUGGGAAGAACCUGUGCAUGGUAAACAAGUGUGCACACUGACGGUACCAUUGAAGGAAGCACCGGCUAACUCCGUGCCAGCAGCCGCGGUAAUACGGAGGGUGCGAGCGUUAUUCGGAAUUAUUGGGCGUAAAGAGCACGUAGGCGGCAGUGCAAGUCAGGUGUGAAAACCCGGGGCUUAACCUCGGAAGCGCAUUUGAAACUGUGCUGCUUGAGUAAGGGAGAGGGAAGUGGAAUUCCUGGUGUAGCGGUGAAAUGCGUAGAUAUCAGGAGGAACACCGGUGGCGAAGGCGACUUCCUGGACCAAUACUGACGCUGAGGUGCGAAGGCGUGGGUUAGCAAACAGGAUUAGAUACCCUGGGUAGUCAACGCAAUAAACGGUGAUCCCUAAGUUGUAGCGGGUAUUUGACCCCUGCUGUGCCGCAGUUAACGCAUUAAGUGAUCCGCCUGGGGAGUACGGCCGCAAGGUUAAAACUCAAAGGAAUUGACGGGGGCCCGCACAAGCGGUGGAGCAUGUGGUUUAAUUCGUACGCAACGCGAAGAACCUUACCUGGAUUNGACAUCUGCGGGAGUGCUAUGAAAGUAGGAUGUGCCCUUCGGGGAGCCGCAAGACAGGUGCUGCAUGGCUGUCGUCAGCUCGUGUCGUGAGAUGUUGGGUUAAGUCCCGCAACGAGCGCAACCCUUGUCUUUAGUUACCAGCAUUUCGGAUGGGGACUCUAAAGAAACUGCCCCGGUUAACGGGGAGGAAGGUGGGGAUGACGUCAAGUCCUCAUGGCCUUUAUGUCCAGGGCUACACACGUGCUACAAUGGGUUGUACAAAGGGUAGCGAGCCUGUGAAGGAGAGCCAAUCCCAUAAAGCAGCCCCAAGUUCGGAUUGGAGUCUGCAACUCGACUCCAUGAAGCUGGAAUCGCUAGUAAUCGCGGAUCAGCAUGCCACGGUGAAUACGUUCCCGGGCAUUGUACACACCGCCCGUCACACCAUGAGAGUUGGUUGUACCCGACGUC
rnacentral:rRNA from 1 species